rnacentral:rRNA from 1 species
UGGGGAAUCUUGCGCAAUGGACGAAAGUCUGACGCAGCGACGCCGCGUGAGUGAUGAAGGCCCUCGGGUUGUAAAGCUCUGUGGAGGGGGACGAAUAAGCAUUGGUUAAUAUCCAGUGUGAUGACGGUACCCUUUUAGCAAGCACCGGCUAACUCUGUGCCAGCAGCCGCGGUAAGACAGAGGGUGCAAACGUUGUUCGGAAUUACUGGGCGUAAAGCGCGUGUAGGCUGCUUCGCAAGUCGGAUGUGAAAGCCCUGGGCUCAACCCAGGAAGUGCAUUCGAAACUGCCGAGCUGGAGUCCUGGAGAGGAAGGCGGAAUUCUCGGUGUAGAGGUGAAAUUCGUAGAUAUCGAGAGGAACACCGGUGGCGAAGGCGGCCUUCUGGACAGUGACUGACGCUGAGACGCGAAAGCGUGGGGAGCAAACA